ACUAUAUGCCAGGCACUGUGCAUUAUCUCAUUUAAUUCUCAUAACUCUUGGAGGGGGAAACAACCAUCAAUGAGGAGACUUUUGGAUUUGUGGAUAUCCUUAUUCCCCCAGCACCAAAACUGAUAAUGUUGCCUGUGUAA